CUCCACGGUCAUAUCCCGGGAGCCAUAAACCUUAAAACAGGAACAUCAACAACUUUCUUUCUUUUUUAAAAUUCUUUUCAUCAAUUUAACAAUUUCAGAUACUAACACACACACAACAACACAUAGAUCUCACGACAGAUUUGAUCUCCGUCCAUUCUAGUGGCGGAUCUGUAGUGGUGAGGAUUAUGAGCUGCAAGUGGUUUAGACUACUUUCAUAAAUUUAUAAACAUAUUAUUUCUCACUACACAGGACUAAGGUGAUCACAUGUUUGCCGAAUAUGUCGUUUAUAUGAUUCAAUCUUAGAACAUUCAACUAAUACAGUUUGAUAUGUAUUUUGUAAGUUCGUUGUCAACGUGAAUAAAUGUUUGUUACUUACCUUAUCAUGUUUGUAUCCAAAACUUUAUCAUGUAAAAAACGUGUUUUGUUGUUGCGGGUUAAAAUACUAGUUGUAUGCUACUUGUCAAGUUUAGUGUAAAUGUUGUGGUGAUUUGGAUUAUUAUUUUAUCUUUAAA